AUGAUUCUCACAGUGGCUAGACUUAAACCGCCGACCAAAAGUCCGAAAAUCCACCCUACGGGAGCUCUCCUAUGGCCCCACCAAGCCCACCAAACCCACAAGUACUCUUCAUAUGGAGGCCUCUCACAUUUAACUCGCAUAUCAACCUCUUCUCUUGGUUGUUUAGUAGCUGGAAAGGGUACAAGAUGGGAAAGAGGGAAAGAAAGUGCGAAGAAGAGAUAGAAGUGGAGAAAGGCGGUGACGAUUUGGAAGGUGGCGAGGAGCCAGGUGAAGAUUGUGAGGGCGGUGAGAAGGGAGGAAAGGUUAGAUAGAAUUGGACUUGGAAGAAGUUAGACAAGAGUGGCUGAUAAGGGAAGAGCAACUCACGUUUCCGGGAUGGUGAAUGAGCCUGACUCAUUUUUGAAAUCACCACUGCUAUACGCUUGACAUUCGGGGCUGCUUCUUGUUAGCCUUUGCUUACGUCCAAUUUAUAAACCAAGGCAACCCACUCAUCGGCACCCUGCACACACCACCCCCGAACACCUAGAGCGACGCCAUCCCCCUUUCCUGUGUCGCCUUGCGCUCCUUGGAACACACCAUUUCCUAUCUUGAGGAAGCCACUCAAUGAGCUAGAUGAAGUGGUGUUGCACAUGGUCAGAAUAAGCGCGCACGCCAGAGUCAGUAAUGGCAAAAUAAAAACCCGGUAAGUCAGGUAAAAGCGGACUGGUGCAGAGAGGACACGAUGUGGUGGGAGGCUAUCAUCGUCAUUAUCCUUUGACGCCUCACUUUUGCCGAAGGGCAAUCUCAGUCCCCUUCCAGGGUUACGUUGAGGAGGUAAUGUGUAACGUGCAGUAGCCAUUGACAUCCUUCCCAACCUCUGAUGUGCUUCAGGGGUAAGCAGCUUUGGCGAUGCGCCAGGGCCAUAGCCACGGUUACGGUUAUAUGCCUUUGUCAAAUCAGGCGUAGGCUGUGCGGCAUAGGGCGAUCGAUGACGAGUAAGACCUUGUCCUUCCUGUGGUGUUCCGUCAGUCGGGCUAUCUGCAAACGGGUCUUGAGGCCGGAAGGGAGACUGGGUUUGGUAAGACUCGGAGAUGGGUUCAGCCUUGAUAGCGGUUGGGGUUGCUGCUUUCUUGACGAGAUGGUCCAGAUCAAGGAUGGAAGGCAAGGUGGACCGCCUUUGUGUUAUGGGAAGGUAUCUUGGAUUUUCAAAGUCCGGUCCUGCUUUCACUCGUACCAUGGAGGGCAUAUUAUCCCUAUCACAAUACACAGCCGGAGUCAUCUCCCCAGGACUAUCCAUUACCCCUCCUUGAUCGAUCGCGUAUUCCACCCUUCCGUAACCCACACUUUCUGGAGGCGCCGAUAUUCGCUGCAACAUCAUCUGGUUGAGUCCUGUAUCAAAAACAGGCGGGAUCCAUUCUUCAUCUUCCUUGAUCCCUCCGAGUUUCGGAAAGUGCGUCAGAUGGGUACCUCCCGUGGUCGGUCCAGCCCAGGAAGACCGACUCCAACCAGUCGCACUCGUCUUGGGCUCUUCGUCCCAAUCACUCCGAUGAUACAGGUCAUCAUCAUCAUCGUCGUCAGCUUCCUCUGUCCCACCAAACUGGCUUUCUGGUGGAAUUGCAUCAUGCUUGCCCGGACCGGGUGUGGGUAAUGGGGGCGGCGGGGAUCCGGCGGCACGAGAUGGUAUGUGGCUAGGCUGGGACCAAGCAGCGUCCAGCUCCGAGUAGAGUGUAGGCGGGCCAGCUGUUGAAUAUUGGAAUGGUCGAUCUUCAUUAUCAAAGUCGGACGUUCCAGAGGGCGGUCGAGGGUAAGAAAGCGAUGUGGGGAGUGCGGUUGUUGGUGGAUACCAGGAGUAGGAGUCGCGCUGCGGCAUGAUAUAAGAAGCAGCCUGACCUGCAAGCUUGAAGAGCGACCUGCGGUGAGCAUGAGAUGGGCUUUCGUAAUUAUGAGCAGGACGCAUUCAGAGGUGGGAAUGUUAUACAAAGGAUGGGAAACAAAGGUGCUUGUCUAGUAUGCGCUGUGUCACAUUUAGGUAUAUCUGAAGGACAAGUUAGUAUCUAUGAGCCUGUAAACCAUAAUUAAUUGCAUCUUCGUUUUGAG
rnacentral:sRNA from 1 species